rnacentral:lncRNA from 1 species
AUUUUGUUCUCAAUGCUCUUCCUUCUACUUGAUUUGAUAAAUCUUUACGAACUAAGACCAAAUAUCUCAUUUGUAAUAACCCGAUUGGCAUAAUAACCAAAUCAAUAAUCCAUUUAAAAUGAAUAGCUAGAAGAUAUGUAGCAUAAAGUCCAUCUCAAUGUUGUAUAUUAGAAUACGCUUAACAAAUUUUACAUGACUCUAUAAAUAAGAACACAUCUCAAUACAUAUUUUUCCACCAAUAUCGUUCCUUAAGUUUAGCAAAAGUAGCCCAAAUUCCUCUAUGUCCUGCCCAUAAACUAUCAUGAAACCCC